rnacentral:rRNA from 1 species
AACUAACGCUGGCGGCGUGCCUAACACAUGCAAGUCGUACGAGAAAGUCGGCUUCGGCUGAUGAGUAAAGUGGCGCACGGGUGAGUAACGCGUGGAUAAUCUGCCCUUGAGUGUGGAAUAACGUACCGAAAGGUGCGCUAAUACCGCAUAAUGCCUGGCAACACAAGUUGUCCGGCCAAAGAAGGCCUCUGUUUACAAGCUUUUGCUCAAGGAUGAGUCCGCGUACCAUUAGCUAGUUGGUGGGGUAACGGCCCACCAAGGCUACGAUGGUUAGCUGGUCUGAGAGGAUGAUCAGCCACACUGGAACUGAGACACGGUCCAGACUCCUACGGGAGGCAGCAGUGAGGAAUAUUGCGCAAUGGGGGCAACCCUGACGCAGCAACGCCGCGUGAGUGAGGAAGGUUUUCGGACUGUAAAGCUCUGUCGAGCGGGAAGAAAUGUACCAUGGCUAAUAUCCAUGAUAUUUGACGGUACCGCUAGAGG